AUCCCUUCGGGGACACCCAAUAAUAUUGGAAUGAUACAUUUAUGAUUAGCAUGGCCCGUGCGCAAGGAUAACACGCAUGAAUCGAGAAAUAGUCCAAUUUUUA